AUUGAACGCUGGCGGCAGGCCUAACACAUGCAAGUCGAGCGAGCGGCGGACGGGUGAGUAAUGUAUGGGGACUGCCCGAUGGAGGGGGAUAACUACUGGAAACGGUAGCUAAUACCGCAUACUAUCAGAUAACCCAUAUGGGAUUAGCUUGUAGGUAAGGUAACGGCUUACCUAGGCGACGAUCCCUAGCUGGUCGGAGAGGAUGAUCAGCCACACUGGGAUGUAGACACGGCCCAGACUCCCACGGAGGCAGCAGUGGGGAAUAUUGCACAAUGGGCGCAAGCCUGAUGCAGCCAUGGCGCGUGUAUGAAGAAGGCCUUCGGGUUGUAAAGUGCUUUCAGUCGGGAGGCGUUACCGACAGAAGAAGCACCGGCUAAGUCCGUGCCAGCAGCCGCGGUAAUUC
rnacentral:rRNA from 1 species